UCGUGCACGACCGGGCCCCUUCAAACGGAACGGAAAUCUCUCUGCACUCUUGAAAAUCAUGGUGAGAUUUCCGGUGAAAAAAACGAAAAAAUUAAAACACAAAAAUCGUCAGAAAAACCCGUGUUAUUGUACCGAUAAAUUCGUCGCCGGGUCCAAAUUGCUCCGCGAGAACAAAAAAAAAAAAAAAAUUGGCAACCAGUUCAAAUAACAUCGCACUAAAAUAUCGCGUUUAUGCGUAUUGUAAAAUGUAACGCAAAUAUUCGAUAUUCGUUAUCGUGUUUUAUUUCUGUAUAACAGGUCGAUAACAAUGUUUACGCAUAAUAUAAUGUUUACAGCAGGUAAAAACAACUUUCGUGUCGUUAAUAAUUGGUCUGCGCACUUGAGGAGUGAAAAUCGUCCGC